GGGGGGGUAGUGUAGCUUGGCAUCAUACGGCCUUGGGGUGGCCGUGACCCGAGUUCGAAUCUCGGCCCCCUCA
rnacentral:tRNA from 4 species